AAAGUGUGAAAAGAUAAACCAUAAACUGAGAGAAGAAAUUUCCAAUAGAUAUAAUCAAGAAAGGAUUAGUAUUUAAAAUAUGUAAAGAACUCUUAAGAAUUAAUAAGAAAAAAAGAGGGAGGGACUAUAGAAAAAAGGAAAAACUAAAGAAUUUAACAGAAAAGGAAGCAUUAAUCAUGUAUCAGUCAGAGUCCAACCUGAAAAACAGAUCCCAUUUCAAGUAUUUAUAGCAGAAGAAACUGAAUGCAGGGCACUAGUUAUAACAGGUGUUGGAGAAGCUGAGAGGCAAACAGGGGACAGUGAGGACAAUGGAGGAAACCACUCUCAUUCCCUCAGCUGGGGGGACAAAGGUAGGAGAAAGUGUUCUCGGACCCCAGGAGGCAGCGUUAUCCAAUGAGAGCUGAAAUCCUAGAGGGGAAGUCUGGCAGGACCUCAACCCACAACCACAGCAGGCAAAACCCAGGGUAGAGAAGGGAGGGGGGAAUCCUGGCUUCACCAUCCUGCCUUCAAGUGUUCCCCUAGUGUCUCCUAUUAGCCAGACUCUGCCAGAAUCCAGCUGACAUGGGAGCCUGGGAAACACAGCCUGCAGGGGUAAGCCCCUCUGCAGUGCAGUACAGGGACACAUGAGGCAUGCAUCUGAGGACAAACAGGCAUAAACUGGCACAAAUGACCUAGGAUGAGGUGAAAAAUGUUCAACUUUAUUACAUACCAAGGACAUACAAUUAAAACUCACAGUAAGAUUCUAUUUUAGAAGCUCUCACUUCCAGUGCAGCAACUGUAACACUGAAAGUUUUAGAAAACAACUAUAAAGUCUCUGGAAAUUGUCCUAAGGGCAAACAGCAAAGUAAGAAAUAUUUACUCAAGAAAAUCUACUAGAUCUCAGCAAGAACACCAAACGUCUGUGACCUGCUCUUUCUCCCCUCCACCCGAGGUCGGUAUAACAGAGGAUCUACUCCAGGCAGCUGUGGCCCAGAAGAUAAGGCUCCCUAUCUCCCCAGCUCCCAGUCAAGGGCUAUAGGGGCAGGUUUCCAGCAUAUGUCAUCCUCCCAUCUUACCCACCUCACCCCAGUUCCAUGUUGCAGAGGCUAAAUUCCAGAACAAUGUAGCCAGGAAGUCAAGGGUCCAUUCCACCACUCAGCCAUUUCAUAGAGUGGAAGCUCUACUAUAGUUGUGGCAGACGGAGGAUACUGGGCUCAGUCAUCCUCACUCCAACUUGCUUGUAUCCCAGGAAGGGGGCUCGAACUUAACUGGAUCAUAUCGUGGAGAAAUUUGCACUCAAGAAUAUCACCAAAAAACAGUAGAUCCAUCAGCCAUCAGCCAGCACUUAGAGGAACCUAACAGCUGGGUGUAAUACCAACAGAAGCAGACAAUUUAACAGAUCAAGGAAAGGGAUAAUCAAAAUGUGCCCUGCUAAUCCCAGAGUGACUGCACUUGCCCAAGGCUGUGCCCCCGAUGAGCAACAUCAAAGCCUUCACACUGCUGGGGAAAUAGAAUUCACUAAAAUAAUCCACCCAAGUCAUUUAACAAAUAGACAAGCAAGCAGCUACCACAACAAACCCUGAGGGCUAGGGGGAAGAGAAGUCAGCAUUGAGAGUUGCUACAAUAUAUUAUCUAAACUGUCCAUUAAAAAAAAGAACAUGCAAAGAAAGACAUGCAAGAAGAAGACAUGCAAAGACAUUCAAAGAAGAUAUGCAGAGAAACAGGAAACCAUGAUCCAUGCCUAGGGAAAGAGCAGGUGAGAGAAAAUGUCUGUGAGCGGCCUGGAUGUCAGACUGAACAACACAUUAAAGCCAUGACAAUAAAUGUGCUCAAAGAACUAAAGAAAAACAUGCUUAACAGAAGUAAAAGAAGGUAUGUGACAAUGUCUCAUCAAAUAGAGAGUAUAAAUGAAGAGACAGAAAUCAUGAAAAAGAACCAAAGGGAAAUUCUGGAGUAGAAAAGAAAAGGAACUAAAAUGAAAAUUGCACUGAAUAGAGGCUCAGGAGUAGAUCUCAAUCAGCAGAAGAAAAACUUAUUGGAUUUAUAGGUAAAUAGAGAUGAUACAAUCCAAAGAACAGAGGUGUUUUUUGGGGGGCGGGUGUUGGGGGGCAGGCAAUUAGGUUUAUUUAUUUAAAUUUUUUUAAAUGGAGGUUCUGGGAAUUGAACCCAGGACCCUGUACAUGCUAACCACACACUCUGCAACUGAGCUAUACCCUCCACGCCAAGAUUUUUUUUUUAAAUGAAGAAAAAUGAACAGAUACAGGGAGAAUGCCAUGUGAACAUAAGGAUGGCCAUCUACGAGCUGAGUAGAAACUUCUGGAACAAAUCACUCCCUCAGGCCCUCAAAAGGAAACAACCUUGCCAACAGCUUGAUUUCCGGCUGCUGGGCUUCUAGAACGAGAGAACUCUAGAACUACCCCUGUGCCCCACCCCCAACCUCUCCAAAGUGUCUAUAAGAAGAAGCAAAGAGAAUGAUCAAGAAAGAUAAUAGAAUUUCUUUGGGGGAGUCGUUGGUGAGCUGGGCUUCCUUUCCCCAGUGCACACACCAGCCACAUACUCUGUUGGAAGCGAGUGUUGCUGCUUUGUUAAUCUUGGCUGAGUGAGGAGAGUUUCACGGAACCACCCAUAGAGCUUGACUUUUGUGUCUGGGGAACAAGGGGGCUGGUCCCUGACUUGGACCUGACAAUGCCUCAAGGUGAGAGGUGAUUGGGAGUUGUCUGUGGACAGAGGGUCUUUGCAGGUAGCGGCUUUGCCAGCAGAGGAAUCAGGUGAGAUGGACCAGAUCAUAACCAUUUGACAAGGGCUAGACUCGUACCUUAAUGGUUGCUGGCAUGGCAGGUGAAAACUGUACCAGUAAUGUGAGACUCUCCUUUUUCUGUAAUCUGCCUAUUACACCUCCCCACUCCCCACAGUCCUGCAAGAGGGGGCGGGGGAAAGCAAGGAAGAGAGAAGAAACAGAAGACACCCUCCUCCUGCCCUUCUCCACUGUAAACAUCUAAGCCUAAGUCAGGCUUGACUGGUAGAAAGAGGAAAGAAGAUUUCAGUCACGUGAGACAGUAUCAUGUUUAUUUGGAUCAGACUGGAGUUUUAAACACCCAGAUAAAGGUUAUUAACUUGUGAGUGGCCAACAGUGGCUGGAAGGCUCUGGGCUCUGCUUGAGACGUCAUCUGGGUCAGGGCGGAACAGCUGGACAGAGCAGGGUAAAGGGCAGUUGUCAGAGAAAACAUCACCUGCUCCUGUCCACACCCUUCCGCGUCCAGCUCAUCCAAAAGCAGUUCUGCUCUGAUGACACCUUCAUUCUCCAGCAGCGCUGGCCUAUGAAAAAGGACAGUCAUGAUUUGGAAGAGGGGCAAUGGGCAAAGGCUAGAAGAAAAGUCCUGGACUUCAGACCUCUAAUGAGAGAUACGUCACACGCCCCCACCCCCAUGCCUCCCGUUGUAUGUACCAGGGAGCUGGCAAGUGCUGCGUCUCAGAUCACACAGCUUACAAAGUGGUAGACGCUAAGGAGGAACCAAGGGUGUCUGGCUCCACAUCCCAAAUGGAAGAGGGAAUGAUCUGGAAGAGACUCACACUGUGGGGAAGGGAGGGCUCAGGACCCACCGAACACCAUGAACUAAUGACAGAACAGUUCCCAGGGUGAAGGACUUUCAUCAUCUGUGUAAAGCCAAUCAUAUGAAUGAGGGGAGAAAAUGGUGUGUAGCUUUUAUUCUUCCAGAGUUUGAAUUUUGCAGGGUGAGUGUUUGACAAUAUGUUUGACAAUAAAUUUGCAAGAGACUGAGCUUUUCGAGGCUUUGGUUUUUCUAGAAAACUGGGGCUGUUUUCUAUUCUUUUAUAAUACAUAUCCAAAAUAAAACCCUAAAAGAGCCAUGCCUUCCUAAAAAUACUAUGUUUCUGGUCCAUUGGUACCUGGAGAGGGAUUAGAAUUGAUGUAGACCAUUCUGGAGAAAAAAACUAGGAAGCAAGAGAAAAAAAAAAAAAAAAAGAAAGAAAGCUUUUUAACAUUAUUGCCCAUAAAAUGUGUAGAGCCUGAACAUGAAAAUAAAGAAAUUAUUUCUUCUAUGGCAAAUGUAAACAUUUGGAGCUUCUUUGCUGUUUUUACUCUCAACACUGCUGACACCAAAUGAGAGAUUUUUUCCCACCUGACACAAAAUAUGUGGUGUCUUUUCCAGCACUACUUCUUGAACCCUCUGACACUCACUACUCGGAAUUAGCAUUAGACAUCACAGGUUUAAUGGUUCAGUCCCACUAAAAUUUCCCCACUUCAGCUGUCAGUCACAAGUCCCAGGCCUCUCAAAAGCUUGACCAGCCUCAGCUGUAAGUUGGAGGUUCCCAUAGCCUGUUCCUCAGGUUUUAAUAAUUUUCUAGAAUGACUCACAGAAUUCGGGAAAGUACUUUACUCACCAUUACUUUGUUACAAAGGCUAGAACUCAGGAACAUCCAGAUGGGAGAGAGGCUCAGGGCCAGGGGGUGGGGGUGGGGAGCCUACAGAGCUUCCGUGUCCUCAGUGUGCUUGGCAUCCCAGCACCUCGACGUGUUCACCAAUUUGCAAGCUCUCUGUGUUUUUAACUUAAAAUAUGUAACAGAGUUCUGUUGAUUAUGAAGGGGCUGAUUUCUUCUUUAGUACACAGUGUCUUUUUUGUUGUUAUUCUUUAUGUUGUAAAUAACGUCAUACCUACCUGCAUUAUGCUGUAUUUCACAACUGAUUUAUCAUAAAGUAGUACAAGAGGAACUAAUUUUAUUCAUGCUACAUUUCACAAGAAAUUUAAGGCUUAGUAGAAAAUACACUUUUUGAUUUAACUUUAUUUCAUACAGCUAAUCUCUGCAGUAUUGGCUUAUUACAAACCCCCUAGGCAGUAAGCAGAGAGUCAGAUCAUCUGCAGCUAGACCCUUAACCCGUGAGAGAAACUGUGCAGGAAGGCUGUCUGAGGUCUCUGCUGAUGUUAAAGCAGUGGAUCGCUAGGGUUAUAUAGAACUCAAUUUGAAGGAGUUCUAGAGGAUGCUCUAAAUUUCCUGGGCAUAUAUGCAGGAUGAAGGCAGAAGGUUGAGAGGAAAACGUCUCAUUGUUCACACAGGCUGAUGAGAAUAUGAAUAUGAGAAUAUGAGAAGAAUGAAACUUCUUCCUAGAGGGUUGCGGUGGCUCUGGCAGCAUCAGCUCAAGGGGAAAAAUGUCUACAGGAAGUGUGAUUGGCUUGGGCAAAAUGGGCAAAUUACUGUGUAGAACUGCUCUGUAUUUCAACUCUACAAUCCAGAAGGAGAGACUAGCCCUGAAGUGAGAAUGUUUCCAUGAUGACUGCUAAGAGUUCAGAGUAGCAUGAGUAUCCUCUUUUAAUUGUAGGAAAAUCAGUAUCCAUAAAGAACCUGUCGCUGAUAAUGUGGAAGCUAAAGUGGGCUUAGGAGACUCAGGAAGGUAGAAAGACCAGAAAAUGGAGCCUGGCUGAUCCUCAAACCUAAACCUAACUUGUACGUCUUCCAGUGAAGACAGCCUGCUGAGAACCAGUGUGCAGAAGGUGGGAAUGACUCACCAAAACCAGAGGAAUGGAUACAAGCAAGGUGAAACACACUUUUCUGGGUGAGAGAAUCAGCUUAAAUGGAUCCUGAAAGAAUUGUUUCAGGAAUUAACGCUGCUGAGUACUGCUAGAGAAACACAUAAUCUUGCAGAACAGUACCAGGACAAAUCACAGUCCUCAACACUUUCUAGACUCUCAGGGCAAUGAGAUAAUCCUUGUCAGUCUACCAUCAUGUGUGCC